rnacentral:RNase_P_RNA from 2 species
GUUUGAAAUCAACUGCUAUAUUUGAAAAAGAAUAUAGAGGAAACUCCACGCUUGCACAUCCUGAGAUGGAUGUAGUGUUUGUGCUAGGGGAAAAAAUAACCCUAGGCAUCUUUUAUGAUGACGACAAGACUAACCUAAGUGAUUUUUCAUAUGGUGAUGUCUUUAAAGUGCCACAGAGACGAGUAACUAGAAAUAGUGAAAUGGAACGGGUAAACUCCACAAGCAAGAAACUCAAAUUUUGGUAGAGGAGCUAGUUUUUCGGGAAUUGAACUGAAAAAUUGGAUCGCUGAUUUAGCGAUAGAUAGAUAGUUGAUGCACAAUUGUGUACAGAACGUGGGUUAUGACA